rnacentral:lncRNA from 1 species
GACUAUGAAUGCUGAGCGGUCAAUAGACCAUGAACUUUUAUUUUCAAUUUUUAAAAAGUUUUGUACAGAAAUUCAUCUUCAAACUGUCUGGACUUACGGGCACGGAGGGUGAUCAACCCGUAUGCCCUGUAUUGAUCAACGCUACAUGUUAGAAUGAUUUUUACGUUCAUUAUAUCCGUCUUUGGCACACAAAAGUUUUCCAAUUUCGGGAUGUUCAUACUCAGUCUGGAGUCCAAAC